rnacentral:lncRNA from 1 species
UAAUAUUUUGUUUCAUAAUUGGCAAACUUUCUUAUAUCACGGUCUCAUUCUAUAUUUGCACUAUAAACCAUUUAAUCAUUUACAGACCUCUAACCGGAUCACAGAAUGUGUGUGUGUGUUAUGCUGUGCUGAGAUAUUGCUGUGACAUAUGGUGCUUUUAGGUCCACAACCUGGUAUUAUAUGAGUUGACAUCUGUACAAGACAUCCUACUGUAGACAGUUCUGAGUGAGCAAUGGCCCAAGACACCUUGUUAAUGCUACCCUGUUAUCUACUGAGUUUCUAAAUACAAGUCAAGUAUCCAUCAAAGAUUGGCCAUGCAUGGUGUUUACAGAACUGAAAGCCAAGCUGUUAUUUUUGAAAAUUUAUUAUAAAGUUCUAAA